AACCAUAGAUCCGCGUUAGCUACGCUGGACAGAGGGAGGUGACUCUAACUUUAAUUAGCUGAUCCUUUGUUAUUGCUGCUUAACCUCUGUUUAUGUAGACUAACAAGAUUGACGCUCGAGAGGCAGAGUUUCAAGGAACUAAGCUCUGCAAACUGUUCAACUUCUGAGUGUCCUUAACGUUCUUUUCAUUAAGAGGGCCUACUUCUCCUCUGUUUUUCGAAAUAGGGUACUGAGUCGUGGCCUAGUUUUGGAUAUUCUGAAUGGUUCGCAUCUUUGGUUGUUGCCAUUAUGUAUAUGGAUGAGACAGAAGUAGCCCCGUCAACGGAUCUUAAUAGCAAGUAGAAUGCAUGACUUUGAGUUCUUUGAUGUGCUGGAUGGGAGUUUUCUUUCCGGAAAGUGUAUCAAAUCGAGCUCGGUCAUCUCGUUGUCAUUUUACCGCAGUAUAUUCCUAAACACUGUGUAGGCCCUAUGGGCCAGUUAUCACUUGGGUAAAACCAUACUGCAGACAUCU
rnacentral:snoRNA from 1 species